rnacentral:lncRNA from 1 species
GAGCCUUCUUACUUUUCUUACCCUUGACCUUCACAUCUGCCGUCUUUCUCUUCUUCUUGUCCGAACCCUCAUCCUUGACCAAUAAUUCCUUUUUGCUAUUCUUCUUCUCUGAACCCUUUUCCUUCACGGAUGACUUCUUUUUCUUUUCACUGUUCUCAAUCGAACCUUCUUCUGCAGACUUCACAUCCAACCCAUCUUUCUUCUUCCUCUUAGCAGAUCCCUUCAAUGAUUUCACACUUCCCAACUCACUAGAAUCCUCUUUUUUGACUCCUUUCUUCCCCGUCUUACUCACCAACACUCCACUCUCGAUUUCACCAUUCUCACUAUCAUCAUCAACCUUAUCACCACCACCAACACCACCAACAACAUCAUCGAUAUCAUCAUCAAGAUCAAUAUCAACACUGCGAUCAUCACCAUCUGAACUCAUCCUAUCAUCCAUAUACUUAAUCUCAUGAAUCCUCCCUUUCUUCUUACUCUUCUUCGCGUCUUUCACCUUCUUCUCAUCCUUCACCAACUUAUCCUCCAAAUCCUUAACCCCC